rnacentral:rRNA from 1 species
CCUACGGGAGGCAGCAGUAAGGAAUAUUGGUCAAUGGACGCAAGUCUGAACCAGCCAUGCCGCGUGAAGGAUGAAGGCCCUCUGGGUUGUAAACUUCUUUUACAGGGGACGAAAAAGGGUCUUUUCAGAUCAACUGACGGUACCCUGGGAAUAAGCACCGGCUAACUCCGUGCCAGCAGCCGCGGUAAUACGGAGGGUGCAAGCGUUAUCCGGAUUCACUGGGUUUAAAGGGUGCGUAGGUGGGUCUGUAAGUCAGUGGUGAAAUCUCCGGGCUUAACCCGGAAACUGCCAUUGAUACUAUAGGUCUUGAAUUAUCUGGAGGUAAGCGGAAUAUGUCAUGUAGCGGUGAAAUGCUUAGAUAUGACAUAGAACACCAAUUGCGAAGGCAGCUUACUACGGAUUGAUUGACACUGAGGCACGAAAGCGUGGGGAUCAAACAGGAUUAGAUACCCUGGUAGUCCACGCCCUAAACCGAUGGAUACUCGACAUUUGCGAUAUACUGUAAGUGUCUGAGCGAAAGCAUUAAGUAUCCACCUGGGAAGUACGACCGCAAGGUUGAAACUUAAAGGAAUUGACGGCUGAGCGNGCGAGCGACACGAGGAGAG